UACGAAGGGGGCUAGCGUUGCUCGGAAUUACUGGGCGUAAAGCGCACGUAGGCGGAUUGUUAAGUCGGGGGUGAAAUCCUGGAGCUCAACUCCAGAACUGCCUUCGAUACUGGCGAUCUCGAGUUCGGGAGAGGUGAGUGGAACUGCGAGUGUAGAGGUGAAAUUCGUAGAUAUUCGCAAGAACACCAGUGGCGAAGGCGGCUCACUGGCCCGAUACUGACGCUGAAGCACGAAAGCGUGGGGAGCAAACAGG
rnacentral:rRNA from 1 species